rnacentral:lncRNA from 1 species
UAAACAGUGAUUUGAUAUCAUUUCAAUCACACAUUCUUCAAUAAAAUAAUAUUACACACAAAUCAAAAUAUUUUCCUUAUUUUUUAACUACACAUUUCCCAUCAAUACACUAUUCAAGAAUACAUUAUUACCAAAAUAAUGUGGCUCAAACACCCCCUUAAAUAAUUGAACAUUAGAUUUGGGUUGGGAAUGAAGUUAAUUGUGCUAAAAAUUAAUUUAUAGACUAGGCUAAAUUUUUAUUCUUCUUUAUUUCACCAAUAAAUUGGACUGAAUUUUCCAUUUUUUACAAGUCAAUUAGCUAUUGGGCUGAGGCUGGGCUACAGCCCACCCCAGCCCCCCUCUCCCUCCGUCUCUGGUGAUGGCUGUCAUAUUAACUAUUUUAAGUUGGCAACUGAGGUAUUCAGCAAGUAUUUUAUCUUCCAUGGAACCAGGCAUACUGAUGAAUACAAACAUAGAAAGAGUACUUACAAAAGAUGUAACAUGACAGGAUAGAAAUUGAAUGAAUGAUGGCUUUAACAUAUAAAUCACUGCAACAUUGGUUACACAGGCCAUUAAUUAAUUAAUGCAUGUAAAUUUGGUAAAUUGUUCAAUAAUGCUGCAGAGUCUUUUAUCUUCAUAGGUCUUAUUAUCGAAUUUUAUAUCGACGGCAAAAUAGCAUAAAAACUCUAGACCAAACCAAUAGCCAAAAUAUUGAGCCAGAGCCGGCCUUGAGAAUUAGGAGGCCCUAAGCAACAAAAUAUUUUGAGGCCCACGUACUUUUUUCUUUUACACGUGUAACAAUAUUAAAUUAAAUAAAAAAAUAUAUCUAUAUUUAAAUGAAAAAUUUGUACAAUCUAAAAGAUAAAAUUGCAAAAUUAAAAAUCACUUACAAUCCGAGAUAUUAGGCUAGCAUCAUCUCUUGUGACAUGGUUGAUCGAAGAUAAGAUUUAAUCAAUUUCAACUUUGAAAAACUUCUUUCAACGGAUGCAACGACAACGGUACAGGAGAGAAGCAUACCUUCAAUGACAAAGAAACUGCACGUGCAAGCUCAGUAUCUUCUAGAUGGGACUGCCUAGGCUGAUGAGUGGGAUUCCUAAGAUCCUGUAUCAGAUCAACAUAUUUCGAUAAUUACAACUCACAUUACAGGGAAAAAAUGACUCAUACAUUCAAACUGAAUCACAUACAACGUGAUCAUCAAAUUGUUGAUUUGACAUUGCAGCAUCCCAUUUGGAAGCCUCAAUGUGCAGUUUAAGAAACAUCUUCAAUUAUAGGAGUAGUAUCAGACAACCAGAAGCUCCACUACCAUCCUUAACCUCAAUUGGGAUCUCCCUCACCUCUCUUGGAUGUGAAACAAAUGAUGAACCACUACCAAAACCAGUACCACUAUCAAAUAUAGUUCUGGUGAAGUUUGGAUCAAGUAAAGAAAAUGGAUUCAAAUCCCUAGCAGAGGGUAAUAGCGAAAAAGGUCUAAGGGUUCAGCUAGAAUCGGGUCAUCUAUAUCCAUAACAUCAUUCCAAGGAGCAGUGAAAGAUGCCUCUUGCGUUCUAAACACAGAGAAACAAUAAUGUAAUAGAAGAUGUUUUGAUUUAAAAGUACAUAGGUAUUUGAAGGGAAAGAAGAAGGAAAAAAAGAAAGAUUCAAAAGGACUGGAAAAAUGCCUACAUGUUUCUAUACCUCACUGAAAUGUGAAUUGACAGCUUCAUUCAGGUUGCCAUGAUGCUCCUUCUCAACACAGCACAUAUAAUAUACUUGGGCAAUAAAAUCAAACACAACAUUCAAAACCUCCUUUCAAAUAAAUUAUUUUGCAGGUUAGUUUGCAUACCAAAAAAAAAAAAAAAUAGAGGGCAACAGCACAUAAAGGUUUCACAUAUCAUAAAAUUCUAAGAUAACCAAUGAUUAAUGAAUUUCAAUAUUCUUCCAGUUAAUCAAAGAUUCUGGCUCUGCAAACUUAGUGGUUUAAUCAUCACACCAUCCAAAUUCAGUAUAAUUUCUUCCUCGUCUACCAAUAAUCAUCAUUCUAAAUUCCAAAAAUCCAAAGACAGAAAGAGCUUUGCUAUUAAUUAUUAUAUGAUAAACCAAUUACAAUUUACCUGAAUAGAUGAGCAGGGUCGGGAAAAAACAGCAAACUUUUGGAAGGAGAUGUCUUCUGCCGACUGCCGAGAUGGGCGCUAGAAAGCCAGGAGACUGAGGAGAGGAGGAUACUGAUUACUGAAGAAUUAUGAUUUUUGAAUUGGAAAAAGUAAAAUGUAAUCAAGCGGUGGAAGAUUGGAAAUCCAACCCUUAACCCUUUUCUAUUUCGAAUUGGAGCUCGUAUGAAUUUGGAAUUUGCAGAGGAGAUUUGGGAAUUCUGAAUGGAAGAAGAAGACUUUCCCUUCGGCUGAAUGGGUGAUAGGUCCCUUCAAUUUCAUUUUCCUUCCUGCACCAGCGUUUGGCGUCCCUUUCCUUCUUUAACCCUUUCAAUUUGAUGCCCAGGUGCUGGACUGCCGGUAUGAAAUCUAAGGCCCUGGGCCCAAUCCACAUUUUUGAGGCCCUAGGCCUUUGCCUAGGUGGCUUAGCCUCAGGAUCGGCC